UCAUCAUUGCUCUCUUUAUUUGGUUCCAUCUUUUUACUUCACAGAUGAGGAAAAUGAAGCUCAGAGAGGUUAACCAACACACUGAAAUUCACACAGCUAUUUAAUGGAAGAACCUCACGUGGAUCCAAGUCCUCACUCCGGGCACUUUCUAAUGAUGUUCAAAGUUUUUGAUGGUGGCCCACAGUGAAAAGCAUGUGACCCAACAUACACAUGUGCACACAUGCACAACUAAAAAGAAUCCCAUGAAACCACACUCACUUUCCCCAUGUAGCAUCACUCUGGCCUGCUGUGUAUUGUAUUCUAUUUUGAGUUUUUAUACUAUUCUGAUCACCUUUUACUCAAUUAGCUUCACAACUUAAGAACUUUUAAUAUCACUCCACCACAGCAUCUUGCCUAUAUACUGCACUUGUAAAAAGGCUGACAUCUUCCAAAAUCUUCUACUAACAGAACUAGUGUGAUCAAUUUCUUGAGACCUCUUGGCUCAAAGAUUUUUUAUUUUUUGACUUGAUACAAAUACUAUCUCUCACCAAGAAGUUUCAUCUCACUCCCAGGAGUCUGGUCCAGGCAACCCCCCUUUCCAGCCAGAAUAAUCACAAUAAUGCAUUUCUUUUUUUUGCGUGGGGGGAGGUACUGGGGAUUGAACUCAGGGACACUCAACCACUGAGCCACAUCCCAGCCCUAUUUUGAAUUUUAUUUAGAGACAGGGUCUCGCUGAGUUGCUUAGCGCCUUGCUGUUGCUGAGGCUGACUUUGAACUCGUGAUCCUCCUGCCUCAGCCUCCCUCCAGAGCUGCUGGGAUCACAGGCAUGUGCCACCAUGCUUGGCUACACAAGAGUGUAUUUUAAAUGCAGACCAGAGUCAUCAGAGGCGACCUUGUUCCCAUUCUUGAUUGGCCCUCUAACCCCCAAACUGGAAGGGCUUUGCAUCUCUACGUGAAAUAGUAUGCUCUUAUCUCCCACUAGCCUCUCCGCAGCUGUCACUCUCCACCUGCCCUGGGAUCCUGGGAAGUGGGUGGAAGGUGGCCGAUAGAAGUAAAGUGGAGAAAGGUCAGAGGAUGAUAAGUAGGUGGGUCUGAGAAAGUCAUUAACUACAUGAGUGAGUGCAAACAGAUGGAUGUCUGGGUGGUCUUAAGGUGCCAGCAGUCUCUGUCUCUCUCUGAGUCACAAUAUCUUCUCCUUUCUUCUCUCAAUCCCAUUAUUAGAUCAUUUCCUCCACCGUCUCUUCCUCUGACCUCUUCUACUGAAUUCCACCACCUCCUCUCCCCCUCCCCUUUCUUAAUAUGGUAGAAAGAUGAGUUCUUAGCCCUUCCCCUUCUAACUGACUGUUUGGAACUUUCUAUUCCAACUUCUCAUUUUCCUGCUGAGAAUCACAGAUUUUGGCAAGAAAGGCCUUUGUGGUAGCCAAAGCUGGAAACCACCCCACAGCAACCUGGGCACAUUCCCACGGCUCCCUGACACCAGGCAGAAUUUCCAGAGUUGGUGACAAGUCCCCUCUUCUCAGGAGCAGUAUAAAAUCUGCAGGUUGCCCCCAUCCCUUACCAAUGGGGCUUGAUCUGGCUGCCAGGCAGGGUAGAUAAAGUAGUGACAACCACCAGCCAGGACAGAAGGUGAGCAACCAUUUUGAAUAUUUCUUGCCCAUUUUAGAUUUCUCAGGUACUCUUUCUAAGACUAGGGUUUCAGAUCUCAGGUUCUGCUCCUCAAAGAUUAAGAUAAAUCUGGGGGACUAGGGGCUGGGGAUGUGGCUCAAGCGGUAGCGCGCUUGCCUGGCAUGCGUGCGGCCCGGGUUUGAUCCUCAGCACCACAUACAAAAAAGAUGUUGUGUCUGCCGAUAAGUAAAAAAUAAAUAUUAAAAAUCUCUCUCUCUCUCUCUCUCUCUCUCUCCCUCUCUCACUCUCUCUUUAAAAAAAAAAAAUCUGGGGGACUAGAGGGAGCCACUCUAACUCUGCCACUGAUGUACUGAUUGAUCUUCAGUCAGUUUCUUGACCUCUCUGGUUCUCAUUGCUGUGUGAUCUUGGGUAAGUUAUUUCACCUCUAAUGACUCGGUGAUCUCACUUUUAAAACGUGAGAUUAGACUUUAAAAAUAACAAUUAACUGGUGAUCUUCAAUGGUCCUUUAAAUUGUUCAGGGAAUUAAUUUAUUGUCUUGAAAACUGUCAAGCAAAGGAACUACAUCAAGCAUUAAUCUUCAUUUUCCUGUUUUGACUGCAUCCCUGGCUAGUCAGAUAGUUGUCAAGAGAAAACACCCCCUUUAAAGGUAUUCUUACAAAUAAAGAAGUGAUGGACUAUCACCACUCUGCAACACUCAGUGAAUCGACAAAUCCAGACAUUGUGCACCAAGGACUACUCACAGCACAAAAGAAGAGACAAGCAGACAUUAUGUGCUUCCCCACGAAAGAACAUAACACCACCCACAAUCUUGCCAAAAAGAUCGAACCUAGUCGGAUCAAACGUCUAGAUCUAGCAAUCAAUUCACAGGAAAUAAAGAGGACAGAGAACACGUUGAACUGCACUCAGAGUGUGCAAUCAGCAAAAUCCAAACCGUGAGAAACUUUACAGGGAACACACCCUGGGUUCUGCAAAACAUGAAGUUUAAUAAAAAUAAAAAUAAGAAGGAAAGAGGAAGGUGCAAAUAGGAACUUUUUUUUUUUUUUUGUACCAGGGGUUGAACUCAAGGGCACUCAACCACUGAGCCACAUCCCCAGCCCUACUUUGUAUUUUAUUUAGAGACAGGGUCUCACUGAGUAGCUUAUUGCCUUGCUUUUGCUGAGGCUGCCUUUGAACUCAGGAUCCUCCUGCCUUGGCCUCCCAAACUGCUGGGAUUACAGGCAAGGGCCACCACACCCAGCAUGCAAUAGGAACUUGUAGAACUUGUAGAAUAAAAGAGGGUUAUAAAAUGUGUUGACCAACUUUCCUUCCCUCUGUCCUACCUUCUUUCCUCCUUCUCCUAUUUUUGUGGUUGGGGAUGGAGCUCAGGGUUUUAUCCAUGCGGGGCAAGGGCUCUGCCACUGAGCUACCUCCCCAGGGCUUUUUAUUUUUUUCGUUUUGAGAUAGGGUCACAUUAAAUUGCUAAGGCUGGUCUUGAACAUGCAAUCUUCCUAUCUCAGUUCCCCAAUCACUGGGAUUACCAGUGUGAGCCACAACACCAGCGAUGAUCAUUUUUAAUGGGGAAGACUACAUGAGAAUUACAGUCAGAUGAUAAAGCUAAGAAGACACAAAGAAAUCAUUACUUUGAGUGAUGAGAGCGAUCAUUUGGAGGAUGGGAGGAGGAUGUGAGGGGACCUGGGUACAGAAGGGCUUCCAAGACGCUAGCUGACCUACAUUUCUUAUGCAUAAUUUUCUAUAAAUCUAGGUUUAUUAUACAAUAAGACAGCAUCUAAAUGACAGAAUAGGGAAAGCACCCUUAAUUUCCCGAAAGAUAAAACACUGGGAUUCUGAAAUUCUCAAUCGGAGAAGCUCAGGGGUUCUAAUCCUAAAAUCAAUCUUGGACAAUAAGAAAGUAGGAGCAAAAAGGCCAGGAUUGUUCUGUGAGAAGAUCCAGGCAGACCCGACAUCAAGUCUGACUCUGCCACCUGUUUGCUGAGAUGCUGAAAAAUUCAGUUACCACUCUAACUCCAUUUUCCUCACCUGCUAAGUGGAGGUAAUCAUACUCCUCCCUUGCUGUUAUGUCAAUCAAAUGCCCUUCAGAGGGCUUAGCAUAGACCCUGCGCAGAGUUAGCACUCAACACAGGAGCAUUUAUAAUCAUAAUCACCUUUGUUAUUACUAUUUAUCUGGAUUUUAGGCCACUCCUAACCAGAGAUAAACCAGAAAGCAAAUUUCUCCUUAGAAAAGGCGUUGGAGAGCACAGCCCCUCUGGGACGCUAGCGGUGAGGCUGGCUGUGGAGGAAAGUUUACCAAACUUCAGGCUGGCUCUCUCCAGAGUGACACCCAGGGGACAGGGCGCCUCCUCACUUUAUUCUUUCCCACAUCACACUCAACCUGGCCUCCACCCUAAGCUAGUUGCAUCAAAACCCAUCAACUUAGUGGCCCACCUGUUCAUGGUUCUUCUAGUCUCUGGUACCUCUGGGUACCACUUGUUAUUUCCAUCAGUCACUGGAGCCACUUUGUGAGAGGGAGGCCACCAGGAUGAGCAGAAACCCAUGGGAAGCAGCAGAGCCCACGGAUUCAUCAGUUCACUGCACUGAUGAUCUUCAGUCAGUUUCUUGACCUCUCUGUUCUCAUUGACCUCUCUGGUUUCAUCUGUAAAAUGGGGAUAAGAGAACCUACUUAUAUGGUCAUUAAAAGGAUUAAAUGACUUAAAAAUGUAAAUUGCUUUUGACAAUGCCUGGCACAUUGUGUGGGGUGGGGUGGGGGGGAUUGCAUUCUGUUUUUCAGACUUCCUAAGUAUUAGCUCCUUCCCUCACUAAUUCAGUGAUCUUGGAUAAGUUGUUUAUUUCUCUAUAUCUCUGCCUUUUUACCUAUAAAAUAAGGUUUACAAUAGUAGUCAGCUUUCUGCACAGCCAAGGAAAUGAUCAAAAGGAAAAGGAAACCUAUGGAAUGGGAGGAAAUAUACAACCAUAAGCCAUAGACUAAUUGUUCAUGCCCCCCAUAAUUCAUACCUGACAUCUUCACCCCUAGGGUGAUGCUAUUGGAAGGAGGCCUUUGGGAGGUGAUUGGAUCCCAAGAUGGAGCCCUCAUGAAUGGGAUUAGUGUCCCCCAAAAAAGGACUCCAGAGAGCUCCUCCCCAUGUCCAUCCUGUGAGGACACAGUGAGAAGAAGGCCUCUAUGAAGAGGGAGGUCAGCAGAUGUCAGAUCUGCUGUCACCCAAUCUUGAACUUCCCAGCCUUCAACUCUGUGAGAAAGAAAUUUUGGUUUUCUACAACCCAACUAGUCUAUGGCAUUCUGUAGCAUCACAGAUUAAUUAAGACCCCAUGUGUCUGAUAUAGGGGUCAUAUCCAAAAUAUGUAAGGAACUCCUACAACUCAAUAGCACAAAAGUAAAUAACCCAAUUUUAAAAUGGCAUUUCUCUUCUAAGGAAGAGAAACCUGUGACCACCAGGUAUAUGAAAAUGUGCUCAACAUCAGGAAUCACUGGGGAAAUGCAAAUCAAAACCAAACCUGCUGGGAUGCUAUUAGGAAAAAACAACAAAAGCAAAAGGUAAUUAUUAAUGAGGAUGUGGAACAAAGGGAACUUCUGCAUACCUUUAGUAGGAAUGUAAAUUAGUGCAGUUAGAAGACACUUGUUUGGAUAAGUAUUCUCCAAAGGCCUAAGGGUGAAAGCUUAGUCCACAAACCUGUGGUGUUAUUGGGAGGUGGUGGAAUCUUUAAGAGGUACGGUCUAGAGGGAGGAAGUUAGGAUAUUGGGGUGUAUCCUUGUAGGGGUAUUGGAACCUCAUUUCUCUUAAUCUCUCUCAUUCCUUCCUGGCUGCCAUAAGGUAGCAGUUUCCUCCACCAUGUACCCAUGAACUCCAACCAUGAGGUACUAUCUUGCCAUAGGCCCUAAAGCAGUAGUUCAAUUGAACACAAACUGAAACCUCCAAAACUGUGAGCUAAGGUAAUAUUUUCUUCUGUAUAACUUUAUUACCUCAGGUAUUUUGUUAUAAUAAGAAAGCUGAUUAACACAGGAGGACAUUUUACAAAUGAAAAAAAUUGCCAUGUGAUCCAACAAUCCCAAUUCUGCAUAUUUAUCCAAAAGAAUUAAAAUGAGAAUUUUGAAGAAAUAUCUGCUGUAUCAUGUUCACUGCAGCAUUAUUCUGAAUCAUGAAGUCAUGGAAGCAACCUAUGUGUCCAUCAAUGGAUGAAUAGAUAAAAAAUAUAUAUAGCAUAUAUACAUUCAACAGAUAAAUUGUGAUAUACCCAUUCACCUGUAAAUGGACUUUAGGACUUUUUCAAAUUCUGGGCUGUCACCAAUCAUACCUCAAUAAAGUGACUUUAACAAAAGAUAUUCAAAUAAAAAUAAGGGAAAUGUAUGAACGGCUAAUAAAUACAUGCCUUCACACCCAACUUCUGGGAUUCUUAUGAACUGCUAGUGGGGAUAUAAACUGAUGAAGAACUUUGGAAAAUUGGCAGUUUUAAAGAAAUGAAGUUCAUGCAAACAUUGUACCUGAAUAUUCAUAGCAGCUCAACUUGUAAUAGUCCAGAAUUUGAAAAAAAAUCCAAAGUCCUUCCACAAAUGCAGAAAUAUAUUAUGGCUCAUUCAAAAACUGGAAUAUUUCUCAAAAAUAAAAAGAAAUGAACAACUAUUAUUUGCAGAAACCUGAGUGGGUCUCUAUAACUAUGACAUAUGCUGAGCUAAAUGUGAAACUAUACUUUAUGUACAUAUAUAUAAAAUUUUAGAACAGGUAAAAUUAAUCUAAAAUUAUGACUAACAUAGAUCGGGGAGUCAGAUGUUUUAUAUUUUAGACUUUUUUUUGAUUGAAUGAAGAAGGGCACAAGAAAUUUUAUAGGGUAACAGAAACAUUCUGUAUUUUGAUUUUGAUGAGGUUUAUAAAAUAUAUACAUUUGUCAAAAUUCAUCAAAUGGCAUUUCCUGUAAAUUAUGCCUCAAUAAAUUUGAUUUAAAGAAAAAAAAUAGUACCC
rnacentral:lncRNA from 1 species